GCAUCGGUGGUUUAGUGGUAAAAUUAGCCGUUGCCAUUGAUUACAUCAACGUCGGCUAGCCCCGGGUUCGAUUCCCGGCCGAUGCA
rnacentral:tRNA from 1 species